GGGACAUUUCUUGACCUUGAGAGCUGCUUUGCGCGGAGGGGAGCACAGUGGAGAUCACAAAAUCCCCAUUCCUGGAAAUAUGUACAUUCCUGCAAACCAGCGGGGACCAUUCUGCGGCAGAAACACAUUGAACCCAGGAAGAGAAUGUGACUGUAUGUUUGAUACAUGGAUACAUGGAUUCCUGAUUGUAG